rnacentral:rRNA from 1 species
CAGUCGCCGCGGUAAUACGAAGGGUGCAAGCGUUAAUCGGAAUUACUGGGCGUAAAGCGUGCGUAGGCGGUUUGUUAAGUCUGUUGUGAAAUCCCCGGGCUCAACCUGGGAAUGGCAAUGGAUACUGGCAAGCUAGAGUGUGUCAGAGGAUGGUGGAAUUCUCGGUGUAGCGGUGAAAUGCGUAGAGAUCGGGAGGAACAUCAGUGGCGAAGGCGGCCAUCUGGGACAACACUGACGCUGAGGCACGAAAGCGUGGGGAGCAAACAGGAUUAGAUACCCGCGUAGUCCCUGUCUCUUAUAC